rnacentral:rRNA from 1 species
CGCGUAGGCGGCUGGGUAAGUAAGGGGUGAAAUCUCACGGCUCAACCGUGGGGCUGCCUCUUCGACUGCCCGGCUCGAGCAUGACAGAGGUCGGUGGAAUUCCCGGUGUAGCGGUGGAAUGCGUAGAGAUCGGGAAGAAUAUCGGUGGCGAAGGCGGCCGACUGGGUCAUUGCUGACGCUGAGGCGCGACAGCGUGGGGAGCAAACAGGAUUAGAUACCCUGGUAGUCCACGCCGUAAACGAUGGGUACUAGGCGUCGGGGGGAGCGACCCCUUCGGUGCCGUCGCUAACGCAAUAAGUACCCCGCCUGGGGAGUACGGCCGCAAGGCUGAA